AUCUUAACCAAAAAAAGGAGAGUUCUUAAAUACAACUAAUACCGGUCAUUUGUUUGAUGAUACAGCUAUACUAAGACAAUGCAUGUCUUUUUUUUAUUAUCAUGGAGGGUUAAGAAGAAAAUAAGUCCACCAUGUAGGGCUUAAUUGAUGAAGUAACUUUUCAUAGGUAUGUAUACAGAGGUAGUGGAAAGAUAUACAAUUCUUCUAAGACUUUUGAUGGGGCAAGAUUUGUUGGUGGUCAGUACAUUCGUGGUGUCGAAGGGCUGUAAAAUCAAAUGACCUACAAGGAGAUAAUCUUCUUUAAUGGUGAUCUCGUGGACGGUGGUCGGCAAGGAAAUUGCUAGAAGGGGUGGGAACUAAUAAACCAAGUGGGGGUUCAGCUGCAUUCGUCUGGGUGGCCAAAGAGGAAGUGAACAUAACUGGAGCAAGCAGGAGCAAGCUACAGUUGCAUGAUGCUGUUUUUUUUGCCUUAUUGAUAGCACAUGACAGAUUAUUAUAAACUGGAAGUAUGAUUGUAUUUUAAAUUAUUGAAUAUGAAUGUGACAUGUGCUGACUUAAACUGAAGGGUAUACCUCAAACGUCCAGUUAAAGAGCAGGAUUAGAAAACUUCAUCUUUACAGUGGUGCUUUUCAUGAAUAGGCAGACAUUCAACUGGGUUGCCUGGUCCACGCACAUUUAGAGGAGAACCUUCCCAUAAAGAAGGGCUGUUUUAAGGCCAAAUAGUAGACAAGAAAGAUUUAUGGUUUUACAACACCUGAGGAGAAAGGGGAGACAUGGCAGUGAAUAGCACAGAGUUCCCCUUUAAUCCUUUUAGCUUUUGAAGGAAGAAAAAGGGUGAGGGUUUGUCAAAGAAAGGUCUAAAUCCCUGUGCUUCGAGCAGUUUUCUUUUAUGCACUGGUGUUUUCAUUUCUAUUCUCAGUGCUUGUAUAAAGCGUGGGUCUUUGUGCAUCUUUCUACAAGCGCAGCUUUUUAGGCCGGGGAAUUAUUACUUAGCACUAGCAGAACCUGUGUUUUUGUCUGUGCUGUAUGUAAAUGCCUUUUAAGUUUUCCCGAACAAGGACUGGGGGUAGGGUCGGUUGUAAAGGGGAUGUGGGGUGACAAAUGCCAGGUGUUUAAUUCUCCCCAGGCUCGCAACCCCGGUGGCCAAGUGCCGGGCCGACACAGAGUGCCACUCUCAUGUGACCACUUGUUUGAUCUCAGUGUUUUCCAGUGAGUGCUGGGCCAGAAAUGGCAGAAAGGAGGAAAUGUGGGGUAGGUGAUGACAAGCAGGCUGGCGUGUUAAGAUGAUAACCUUGUUGCUAGCACACUGGAUGUGGGUACAGACUGAGUGAUUUGUCACCUGCAUAAAUUAGAGCCCUUAUGUUGUGGAUUCAUCACAGAGGCAUGCAGUUAAGACAUGUUUUUUCAAGAGUCUAAUGGUAUGUGACAGAACAGGGAUGAUUUCUUAAAAUGUCAACAUUAUACAUAUUGGUAGCAGAGCAAACUCAGAGCAGUGAAUUUAGUACUGACCCUAACCCCUAACCCUUUUUAAUUGUUAAACCAAUUUUCAUCUCAGAUCCUCUGGGCGGUAACAAAAGAAGACUUGUUUUAGUUGACGGCCCAGUUUUUUUUUUAAUGAUGAGCCUCUACAUUUUAAAGGAAAAGUAAAAGAGAUCUUUUAACAGACCACAAAAUAAGUCCACAUUAUACUGAUAUAUAAGACUAGUUUGCGACAUUUCAAGAAUGAAUGGUUGAUAAAUAUCAUUGUCAAUAUUGUUGGCAAGAUUUCAUAAGGAACAAAUUCAGAUAAGUGAGUUUGACAUCAAGUGUUCGACAAGUGCACUUUUACAUUUACAGUAAAAUUGCACUUAUAAUGGAAUAACAGUCUUUUGUAAGUACAGAUUUUAAAGGUGACAUAUUAUGCUCAGAUUCAGGUUCAUACUUUUAAUUUGGAUUACCACUUGAAAGGGUUUACAUGACCUAAUGUUCAGAAAAAAGGUAUCAGUGUUGUCAUACUGCCCAUUCCUGCAUGGCCCAGUCUGUUGUGAUUGGUCAACGGCUUUCAGGGCGUGCGUACCAAAUGUCACGCCUCUUCACCAGACGCGGAUGUUCGGAACAGGCCGGCCUACUGAGAAGCUUAAAACACAGACAUUGCUAAGCUAAGCAACAAUGGCGAAUUUUCAACCGUACCAGUUUGAUCCCGAGUCUGACACCGACAGGAAGAACAAGCGAGUAGUCCUGAAGUUUUUCAACCGAGACUGGUGGUAAGUAACAUUGUUACUGUGUACUUCCUCAAAAUGACUUGACUGACUGAAGUGCAUGUUACUGUAUUCAGGGAAACUUGUGGAAACUGCAGCAGAAUAGAGAAAAAGAAAUUUCUGCUGCAAAGAAAUACGACCGGCGCUUCCGACAUCUCGCCUACCACAGCUUUGUCAGUUGGUGCUGGGGGUAUUUGGGAUGCCACAACAGGGUUGUCAUCCCAUCAUGUGUUGUCCUCCGGAUCCGCCAGGAGUUUCCUGAUCCAGCUGACCAGCAUGUUGGCUUCCGACCGCCCUUUGACUGAAGCGUGACAUGUGGCGAGCAAACAUUUCCUCCUUUGACGGUCUGUCGUAUUGUGGUGACAGAUCCUUGGGGAUGGGAAUUUUUUUCAUCUCCUCCACAAAUGGUGCCGGGUCCUCAAACACCAUCCUCAUCAACUCACCCACAUGAUCUGUAAAAUAUUUAAUUCAAACAUAAAUUUUCCUGUGUUUUUCUGAAUCCACCUUUGUUUACUUAAAAUGUUCAGAAUUAUUUAUUAUUCAUGUGAUAUUGUUAUCAUGUUGUUUUCUAAUGAUGAAAUAGUGUUUUACAACUUACUGAAUGUGGGUACUGUUUUAACAGGCUUUGUGGUGGCUUCACCCUUCUUUGUCUUGGGGAACAAUACCCUGUAAACCGGUUGUCCUGAAGAUGUUGAAGCUUGCUUGUGGUCCGCAUUUUUAUUAUAAUGCAUGACUGCAAGGUACAACCUACACUAAAAGAAUAGAAUUCUGAUCGGUAACUUUGUUUUAAGAUGGUACAGAAACCAUUAUAAAGUGUAUUACCUGCACAACAUUCCCAUGGACAUGAAAACCACAUUAUUCAGUGCGAAGCGCAGGAUCAUGCUGUGGAAGGCACCCAGCGAUGACGUUUUAUAAUGGUGGCUCAGCUUCGCCACAUCCUUGAGGACUCUGAUGUUGUUCAUGAUCUACUCCACUCUGUGCAUUGCCACUGACCCUUGAGUAACCUUACAGAAAUAUUUAGCAAAAGAGCAGCUCAUACAUCAUUAAUUUGUCACUUUAACAAGAUAUGUGAAGUGGUAUUUGUGACUUCUUUACAGGGCUGUAGCUGAUUAGUGUGAUACAAGGGCAAAUAAAACAAUUAAAAAAUUGCAUCAAAUGACAACAAUCGCUAUCUAUUCUAAGCUGUAUCUCCCCCAUUAUAGGCUUUAUUGUCAUUGUACAACAACAUUUGUUUGGUAGCUCUUGCAGCAAUUUAAAAAACAAAGUGUAUCCGAGGCAGUUAUUCCAAAAUCGGAUGUUUGGAAAGCAAACCAACCAUCAAAACAGCUGUUUCAAACGGUCCCACCAUAACACAGAGCAGCGGCAAAAGUGUAGCAAAACUGGCAGUAGCAAAGUUAGGAUAGGCCCAAUGCUACGGUGGACUGCAGCCAUAACAUUACAGCUUAUAAAAUCAUAAGUUCACCUCCACACCUGAGGGUAAAUUAGCCACGUGCUAACUGGACUCCAAUUUUAACAUUACAGGCUAUAAAAUCAUUAAUCCACCUCCACACAUGGAGAGACGCCAAAAUGGAAGUGGCAAACGGUAUGCCGCUUGUAGUUCAGCGGCAUAUGCCACUUAAUGAUCGCGGCGCUACUGCACACGCAAGCACUGUUAAAUAUGAAGAGAUCGCUAAACAAUCAUACAUUUCUCCAUGAUAUUGCCACGUGCUAACCUCACACAGUCUGCUCUUGUACCGGAGCCCACCAUAGAAACUAACUAUGGUAGCUGUGGUAAUAACUACGGUAGCUGUGGGUGGUGCAGGCUAGCCAGAAAACAAAAAGUUACUGAAGAGUGCUGAUAAAAGAUACAUGCUUAGACUAAAGUCAAUCUUACAGCCAUUUAACCAACACUCAUAGCAUUAGCGUUAUUGUGGCUCCUCCUGCAAACGGCAAGUAACCGAAGCAUAAUAUGUCCCCUUAAAGGAGGAUAUAAAACUGACUUUGACAUUCUAGGUUUAACAUAGAGAUGACAAAAUAAAUAACAAAAAUAAGGUUUAGGUUGUAUGACUUCAACUUGAGAUCAUAUAGAUCUUCUUUUUGUGGUGUUCUUCAAAACACCGCUGCCUUGUAUUGAAACUGAGUGACCAAACCCGCUAUGUGAAGCAGUACCGCUCUCAAUUUACCUCAUUAGUCACUGUAUCUUCAUUGACAAACAUCUCUUAAACUGAUAGAACUGUACCAAAGGACGAAUAACGUUAAAUACAUUAAACAACACUUGUGUCGGAGUUCUAAUAAGCUUAUUAUUCAAGCAUGUUUGUUUAAAAAGAAUCCUGGAAAGGAACCACCUGAAACUGACUUAUUUAAAAUUGUAAGUACCCCCUGGGGUCCUUCAGGCAGAGGUGGGGGUGUAGAGAGCCUGAAAUGGCACGGCCAGUUAUAACAACAGCGAUUUAUUACGACUUAAAAAAUGGUAGAAUAAUUGCUGGGUUAACUUCAGCAAGAGUUCAGAAGUUAACAGUGUGUUUGUGUUGCAAACAACAAAGUUACAGUAUGAAUGGCUUGUCAAACUGAAAGCGCUUCUUAAUUCACAUUAGAAUAGUUUUGUUUGGAAUUAGACAAGCAAACCAAAUAGGCUUGGUCUUCUUUUUGGCUGUCCUAACCGGGCCGAGAGCAAAGGAUAAGAAGCCAAAUUGAUGCCAGUAAACUACAGCUAAGGACUAUUUAUUGUCUUUGAAGAGGGCUGCUUUGGUGGCUUUGAGAGAAGCAGGACAAAAGCCCUAAAAAGGAAUGGUGGUAAGAUUUAUGGCCCUCUGAAGGAGCUGUCCCAUAAACCAACAGACCAGCUGUGUUGUUUGUUGGCAGGAGGUGACAGCCAUUGAAGUCGCUCUGCCUUUUAUCCUCACUUCUUUCUCUCAUGUGUCUUCUGUUUGGUCACUUCUCCCCAAUUAGUUUUCUGGUUUGCAGUAGCGGACUCCUUCGUGAAUUUGGGUUUACACAACAACACCCAAGUGCAUGUUGUUCUUCUUUCAGACUGACACAGUGAUGCUGUUUUAAACCCACAUGAACAGCUGAUCCGAUUAUCCAGCCUGGAAGUGGAGGAGUUCAGUGCAAUGUCAGGACUAAGCAUACAGAUAUCGACAGAAGAAAUCUGGCAGAAGCCACGUAGAUUGACAAGUGCACAGAUGAGAUGCAUGUAUAUAUCGCGAUUAUUGAAACUAGAAGAUAGAGGUGUGGUUGAAGAUGAUGGAAAUUCACGCUCUGACUGUGAAUGAUGCUUGUUUGCAAUUCGCACCUAAGGGUUUCAGCUUUUGCCCCUAAAGUAGUGGGCACUUGCACUCCUAUAGAGCUGAUGGCCUUUAACCCUACGCCGUUCAUUUCAACUGAACAGGAAUGGUUACACACUUUGUGUCCAGUCCAAGCUCUGCGUAUGUACGUGUACAGGACGAAAGUGCUCAGGCGAUCUGACCAGAUGUUUGUGUCCUUGGUGAAACCCCACACGGGAAGGCCAAUCUGUAAGCAGAGACUUUCCUGUUCAAUAGUGGGGGUUUAGGCUUCCGUAGCUCCUUCGUGCUCCUCACUCUGCACUGAUCCGGCACUGCGCUAUUUCAUUCAUGUCUUUCAGAUUUUUACAGAUUAACGUUGGAUCUUGUAAUAUGUUUACCGUAGCUGUCGCCGUGCUAUCAAGCUGGUUUUAUGGUUUCGCGGCCAACAAUCGCGUGUGACGGCGAGCUGUGUCGCAGUAUGUGGCGAUGUAUUUACCCGUUUGUUUGUAAAAAUAUUUUAUGUGUUUAGGAGCAGAGGUGCACGGUGAAUUUAUGUUCAGAAACCAACGUGUUUAUUGUCUUCUGCAGGUACGUUUCCUCUUUUGUUGUUUAAUGAAUGUGAAUGCACUCUGUCUAGCCAGCUAAUCCCACACACUGUCGUGCCCAUGCCCAACAGGUGUCGAUCUGUUAUAGUCUUCAUGUGCAUUCAAUUUGUUGGAUAUAUUUCCUAUUGUUUAAUACCAAGAUGUGUACUGAGCUGUAUGUUGCGACAAUAAGUAUGUUUUAUGUGUAUUUUGAAAAGUACUUCUCUGACACUGAAUUUAUGUUCAGAAGCCAACUUGUUUAUUGUCUUCUGCAGCAUUCAAAUAAAUGAGGAUAAAUAGA